rnacentral:rRNA from 1 species
GCUGAAUGUGGGGAUAAUUUAUCUCCGUGUUGUAGCUAACGCGUUAAGCACUCCGCCUGGGGACUACGGUCGCAAGACUAAAACUCAAAGGAAUUGACGGGGACCCGCACAAGCGGUGGAGCAUGUGGUUUAAUUCGAUGCAACGCGAAAAACCUUACCACUCCUUGACAUGGAGAUUAGAUCCUUCUUAACAGAAGGGCGCAGUUCGGCUGGAUCUCGCACAGGUGCUGCAUGGCUGUCGUCAGCUCGUGUCGUGAGAUGUUGGGUUAAGUCCCGCAACGAGCGUAACCCUCAUCCUUAGUUGCCAGCGGGUUAAGCCGGGCACUUUAAGGAAACUGCCAGUGGUAAACCGGAGGAAGGUGGGGAUGAUGUCAAGUCAGCACGGCCCUUAUGGGGUGGGCUACACACGUGCUACAAUGGUGACUACAAUAGGUUGCAAUGUCGCAAGGCUGAGCUAAUCCGUAAAAGUCAUCUCAGUUCGGAUUGUCCUCUGCAACUCGAGGGCAUGAAGUCGGAAUCGCUAGUAAUCGUGGAUCAGCAUGCCACGGUGAAUACGUUCUCGGGUCUUGUACACACUGCCCGUCACGCCAUGGGAAUUGGCUUAACUCGAAGCUGGUGCCCUAACCGAAAGGAAGCAGCCAU